rnacentral:rRNA from 1 species
AUUGAACGCUGGCGGCAUGCCUUACACAUGCAAGUCGAACGGCAGCAUAGGAGCUUGCUCCUGAUGGCGAGUGGCGAACGGGUGAGUAAUAUAUCGGAACGUGCCCUAGAGUGGGGGAUAACUAGUCGAAAGACUAGCUAAUACCGCAUACGAUCUACGGAUGAAAGUGGGGGAUCGCAAGACCUCAUGCUCCUGGAGCGGCCGAUAUCUGAUUAGCUAGUUGGUGGGGUAAAAGCUCACCAAGGCGACGAUCAGUAGCUGGUCUGAGAGGACGACCAGCCACACUGGGACUGAGACACGGCCCAGACUCCUACGGGAGGCAGCAGUGGGGAAUUUUGGACAAUGGGGGCAACCCUGAUCCAGCAAUGCCGCGUGAGUGAAGAAGGCCUUCGGGUUGUAAAGCUCUUUUGUCAGGGAAGAAACGGUUCUGGAUAAUACCUGGGACUAAUGACGGUACCUGAAGAAUAAGCACCGGCUAACUACGUGCCAGCCGCCGCGGUAA